rnacentral:rRNA from 1 species
AUUGAACGCUGGCGGCAGGCCUAACACAUGCAAGUCGAACGGCAGCGGGGGAUAGCUUGCUAUCCUGCCGGCGAGUGGCGGACGGGUGAGUAAUGCAUGGGGAGCUGCCCAGUCGAGGGGGAUAACAACUGGAAACGGUUGCUAAUACCGCAUACGCCCUUUGGGGGAAAGGUGGGGAACUUCGGUCCUACCGCGAUUGGGUGCGCCCAUGUGGGAUUAGCUAGUUGGGGAGGUAACGGCUCACCAAGGCGACGAUCUCUAGCUGGUCUGAGAGGAUGACCAGCCACACUGGAACUGAGACACGGUCCAGACUCCUACGGGAGGCAGCAGUGGGGAAUAUUGCACAAUGGGGGAAACCCUGAUGCAGCCAUGCCGCGUGUGUGAAGAAGGCCUUCGGGUUGUAAAGCACUUUCAGUCAGGAGGAAGGGGUGAUGGCUAAUAUCCAUCAUCAUUGACGUUACUGACAGAAGAAGCACCGGCUAACUCCGUGCCAGCAGCCGCCGCUG